rnacentral:rRNA from 1 species
ACGGGAGGCAGCAGUGGGGAAUAUUGCACAAUGGGCGAAAGCCUGAUGCAGCGACGCCGCGUGAGUGAAGAAGUAUUUCGGUAUGUAAAGCUCUAUCAGCAGGGAAGAAAAAUGACGGUACCUGACUAAGAAGCACCGGCUAAAUACGUGCCAGCAGCCGCGGUAAUACGUAUGGUGCAAGCGUUAUCCGGAUUUACUGGGUGUAAAGGGAGCGCAGGCGGUACGGCAAGUCUGAUGUGAAAGCCCGGGGCUCAACCCCGGUACUGCAUUGGAAACUGUCGAACUAGAGUGUCGGAGGGGUAAGCGGAAUUCCUAGUGUAGCGGUGAAAUGCGUAGAUAUUAGGAGGAACACCAGUGGCGAAGGCGGCUUACUGGACGAUAACUGACGCUGAGGCUCGAAAGCGUGGGGAGCAAACAGGAUUAGAUACCCUGGUA